UACGGAGGGGGCUAGCGUUGUUCGGAAUUACUGGGCGUAAAGCGCAGCGGUAGGCGGCUUUGCAAGCUAGAAGGUGAAAGCCCGGGGCUCAAUCCGGAAUUGCCUUUUAAAACUGCAUCGCUAGAAUUGUGGAGAGGUAAGUGGAAUUCCGAGUGUAGGAAGGUGAAAUUGUAGAGUAAUUCGGAAGAACACCAAGUGGCGAAAGGCGACUUACUGGACACAUAUUGACGCUGAGGUGCGAAAGCGUGGGGAGCAAACAGGGAUUAAGAA
rnacentral:rRNA from 1 species